AAAAUACUCCCUCCGUCCCAAAAUUCAUGUCUUAGUUUUGUUUAGAAAUAGAUGUAUCUAAAUACUAAAACUUGNNNNGAUACAUUCAUAUCUAGACAAAUCUAAGACAAAAAUUUUGAGAUGGAGGGAGUACUAU
rfam:Hordeum vulgare subsp. vulgare, WGS project CAJW01000000 data, contig: morex_contig_368842